GAUGAACGCUAGCUACAGGCUUAACACAUGCAAGUCGAGGGGCAGCGGUAUCGAAAGCUUGCUUUCGGUAGCCGGCGACCGGCGCACGGGUGAGUAACGCGUAUCGAACCUGCCUCAUACUCGGGAAUAGCCUUGCGAAAGUAAGAUUAAUGCCCGGUGUUUUCAGAGUCCCGCAUGAGGCUUUGAACAAAGAUUUAUCGGUAUGAGAUGGCGAUGCGUCCCAUUAGCUUGUUGGCGGGGUAACGGCCCACCAAGGCAUCGAUGGGUAGGGGUUCUGAGGGGAAGUUCCCCUACAUUGGAACUGACACACGGUCCAAACUCCCACGGGAGGCAGGAGUGAGGAAUAUUGGUCAAUGGGCGGACGCCUGAACCAGCCAAGUAGCGUGCAGGAAGACGGCCCUCCGGGUUGUAAACUGCUUUUAGUUGGGAAUAAACCGGGGCUCGUGAGCCCCCUUGCAUGUACCAUCAGAAAAAGGACCGGCUAAUUCCGUGCCAGCAGCCGCCGUAA
rnacentral:rRNA from 1 species